rnacentral:rRNA from 1 species
GACGAACGCUGGCGGCGUGCCUAAUACAUGCAAGUAGAACGCUGACUACUUUAGCUUGCUAGAGUAGAAGGAGUUGCGAACGGGUGAGUAACGCGUAGGUAACCUGCCUACUAGCGGGGGAUAACUAUUGGAAACGAUAGCUAAUACCGCAUAACAGUGUUUAACACAUGUUAGAUGCUUGAAAGAUGCAAUUGCAUCACUAGUAGAUAGACCUGCGUUGUAUUAGCUAGUUGGUGGGGUAACGGCCCACCAAGGCGACGAUACAUAGCCGACCUGAGGGGGUGAUCGGCCACACUGGGACUGAGACACGGCCCAGACUCCUACGGGAGGCAGCAGUAGGGAAUCUUCGGCAAUGGGGGCAACCCUGACCGAGCAACGCCGCGUGAGUGAAGAAGGUUUUCGGAUCGUAAAGCUCUGUUGUAAGAGAAGAACGUGUGUGAGAGUGGAAAGUUCACACAGUGACGGUAACUUACCAGAAAGGGACGGCUAACUACGUGCCAGCCGCCGCAGUAA